rnacentral:rRNA from 1 species
UUGUUCGGAAUUACUGGGCGUAAAGGGCGCGUAGGCGGCCUGCUAAGUCAGACGUGAAAUCCCUCGGCUUAACCGGGGAACUGCGUCUGAUACUGGAUGGCUUGAGUUUGGGAGAGGGACGCGGAAUUCCAGGUGUAGCGGUGAAAUGCGUAGAUAUCUGGAGGAACACCGGUGGCGAAGGCGGCGUCCUGGACAAAUACUGACACUGAGGAGCGAAAGCCAGGGGAGCAAACGGG